rnacentral:rRNA from 1 species
CAGGAUGAACGCUAGCUACAGGCUUAACACAUGCAAGUCGAGGGGCAGCAUGACGAUAGCUUGCUAUUGUCGAUGGCGACCGGCGCACGGGUGAGUAACGCGUAUCCAACCUUCCCAUAGCUAGGGAAUAACCUUGCGAAAGUAAGACUAAUGUCCUAUGUUGUUCUUUGCAGACAUCUAAAGAGAACGAAAGAUUUAUCGGCUAUGGAUGGGGAUGCGUCUGAUUAGGUUGUUGGCGGGUAACGGCCCACCGUGGCAUCGAUCGGUAGGGGUUCUGAGAGGAAGGUCCCCCACAUUGGAACUGAGACACGGUCCAAACUCCUACGGGAGGCAGCAGUGAGGAAUAUUGGUCAAUGGGCGGAAGCCUGAACCAGCCAAGUAGCGUGAAGGAUGACUGCCCUAUGGGUUGUAAACUUCUUUUAUGCGGGGAUAAAGUUCGCCACGUGUGGCGUUUUGCAGGUACCGCAUGAAUAAGGACCGGCUAAUUCCGUG